rnacentral:rRNA from 1 species
GGACGAACGCUGGCGGCGUGCUUACCACAUGCAAGUCGAACGGAAAGGCCCUGCUUGCCGGGUGCUCGAGUGGCGAACGGGUGAGUAACACGUGGGUGAUCUGCCCCUUACUUUGGGAUAAGCCUGGGAAACUGGGUCUAAUACUGGAUAGGACCAUGCUGUAGGUGGUGUGGUGGAAAGAUUAGUUUCGGUAAGGGAUGAGCUCGCGGCCUAUCAGCUUGUUGGUGGGGUAAUGGCCUACCAAGGCGUCGACGGGUAGCCGGCCUGAGAGGGUGGACGGCCACAUUGGGACUGAGAUACGGCCCAGACUCCUACGGGAGGCAGCAGUGGGGAAUAUUGCACAAUGGGCGCAAGCCUGAUGCAGCGACGCCGCGUGGGGGAUGACGGCCUUCGGGUUGUAAACUCCUUUCAGCCAUGACGAAGCCCUUGUGGUGACGGUAGUGGUAGAAGAAGCACCGGCUAACUACGUG